AUGGAUCUAAUCCGCCAAAACUUUACUCCCCCUGAUGCGGCAGCAAUACUUAAUAUCCCUCUAAGGGUGACAGGUGGUGAGGACACUUUGGCAUGGGCUUUGGAAAGGUCAGGACACUACACUAUCAAAUCGGCGUAUCGAUCUCUCAUGACUCGUAACGAGCUUAGUUCUCCAGAGGAAGGGACGCUAACGGAGGCAUCACCGAACAACAAACAGUUGUGGACUGCACUUUGGAAGCUAAAUGUGCUACCGAAGAUCAGAGUAUUCUGGUGGAGAGCUCUGCGCGGGAUCCUACCAGACUCGGCGACUCUACAUCAUCGGCACAUCAAAACGAUGGGCCGUUGUGAAAUCUGUCAAGCUACAGAUGAAGAUCUGAAGCAUGCACUGAUGACUUGCAUGCAUGCAAGCAUGUUCUGGGUGGCAGCUAGAGACCGUUUCGACUUACAGUUACCGCGGCUGCACCAAGACACCUGGGCUCGCGACAUCACACUAGAUAAGAUGCUCUAUGAUGAUGCACGGUGCAAGAUUAUCACCAUCAUGCACUCCAUUUGGACUUCGAGGAACAAGUGGACACAUGAACAGCAGGGGUUCGAUUGUGCGAUGGCCAUGAAGUGGGUGCAGGAGACGAUGGCUAUUCUUGACAUACCAGGCCGAUACGCUCGGACGGCAGGCCAGUGCUGCCCCCCCCGAAGCGGGAUGGAUCACCAUUAA
rnacentral:rRNA from 1 species